GUAAAACGAGGUGGAAAGGGCGACCAUACACCUAACGCAUAUUCUUAGAAAUAUGGGGGUCAGAGAGAUGAAAGACAUGCCCGACUUUCCGUUUUAC
rnacentral:ncRNA from 1 species